rnacentral:rRNA from 1 species
CUGGGUUGAACUACGUAGGAAAAGCCACAGAGAUGUGGUGUCCGAAAGGGCCUGCGAUAGGUGGUGCAUGGCUGUCGUCAGCUCGUGUCGUGAGAUGUUGGGUUAAGUCCCGCAACGAGCGCAACCCUUAUCCUAUGUUACCAGCGGGUUAUGCCGGGGACCCGUAGGAGACUGCCGGGGUCAACUCGGAGGAAGGUGGGGAUGACGUCAAGUCAUCAUGCCCCUUAUGUCCAGGGCUGCACACAUGCUACAAUGGCCGGUACAAAGGGCUGCUAUCCCGCGAGGGUGAGCGAAUCCCAGAAAGCCGGUCUCAGUUCGGAUUGGAGUCUGCAACUCGACUCCAUGAAGUCGGAGUCGCUAGUAAUCCCGGAUCAGCAACGCCGGGGUGAAUA